UUUCAGGAACCAGGGUUAUGGUAAUAACCUAACGUUCUCAUGUUAAGCAUUUAAUUAUGGUAUAUAGUAGUGAGUGGGCCAUGUGGAAUACGUUAACACAUUUUACCAAUGUGUAAGCAAACUUCCUAACGUGUUUAAUUUAACAUUGUGUCACAAGUUUCUCUUAAUAAGCAGGUGGGUUUACAAUAUGUUCCUCCUAAAAUCGACAAGCAGCCACCACCUAUUGGAGCUCCAAUUCAGUCUCUAAAAUACUGUUUGAAUUCGACUUAAAACUUAAAUUAUUUUAUAGGGCGCGGGCACGACGCGCGGGCACGAUUGGCAGCUCCACGUCGACAUUCUUCCAGAUGCAGACUUCUAUUAUACAGAGAGAGGCAAGCCGACGCGGAGGUGCUCCGUUGUACUAGUAGAUCAGCAGCUGUUCAUCUAGGACGGCCGACAAAAGCACCAUUCAAAAAUUCCAAAAAAUAAAUAAAUAAAAAGAAAAGAAAAAAAAAAUCACGUUGCGAAUUUCGGUUGUCAAGAUGCCUGUUGCUGUAUACCAAUUCCUUACAUUUAAGCUUAUAUUUCAUAGUCUGUCUGGCAGCGGCAGCUGGAGGCGUAGUGUGCACUUACUCCAGUCAGCACUGUGGAUUCAACCUGGAUGCAUCAACUGCCAUUCAGUGGUUAUCCCAGUACCCCUUAGUGGGUGCUGCACUGCAAUGAUUCGUGACAACAGCGAUGCCUUGGACAAUACUGAGGGUGCACAGUGGCUUUCAAAGUAAAGUUCUGUAAUACACUUAGAUUCUAAUUGUUUGCAGUCAGUGCAUUACAGAACUUUGCUUUGGGAGUUUACGUUCUGUCUGUGGGAAAAUAAAUGGUAUCUCUAAAGGUUGUGAAAAUGAAGUGCAUACAGUACAUUGGUUAUUUUAUUAGCCAGUUGGACAUAUAUCAUUUUUAAUCUGCUGUUUGUUUCUGACCGAUUCAUUUUGAUCCUCCUGUGUCCGAUCAGCAUGGAUGGGUGCAAUGACCUCCUCUCAUUUGUAACUUUUCUUAUGUUCUUUAUGUUCUCAUAUGUGUUUUGUACAUUUUUUAAAAAAAAACCUUUUUAAAGAUUGAUGUUAUUUGCAUUCCAAGCUAAUUUGUCAAAAGCCUCAUGAUCAGUUUUAAGGGUAAUGUAUUAUACAUGCUAGAUUUUGUGUCUGUAAUACAUGAUCACCAUUUAGACACAUUGGAUACAAUUUUUAACAGUGUAAAAGGUUACAGAGAAAUCUAUAUUUACAGUGGGAAAGACAGAUGAGAAAGAACAACCAAAUUAAGGUAUACGUUUUCAUGCCAUAUUACACAUGCUUUUCCUGGCAUAGUUUAAUCAUUCUCAGAAACUUUUGAUGUACAUUGAUUGCUUUGAACCUGUGGUGUGGUGUAAAAUAAAUAUUUGUUACAGUCAGUUAUAAUCCAAGAGUAAGUAAUGAUACAGCUUAAAUGUAUGUGGCUAUCACAUUUAAAUUCAGAUAUUUUCCACAUGCUAUAAUUCAUUUUCCAUGCUUUGUUGAGUUCUCUCUGUACUUACUAGAACUAUUUAAUUCAACAUCCACUGUUGUAAAUUCCAGCAAUGACUAGCACUGGUUCAUCCUGCUUUAGAGAUAGAACUGGUACUGCUGUGUUUUAGCAGGUGAGACUGGUUGAAGAGAAUAACACUGCCCAAUUAAUUAAAAAAAAAAAAAAAGUCAUUGAUGUAAUUGUUUUACAUAAAUCUGUUUCUGGGCUUUAACUAUUAGUUAGGUAAUACACAAAAAUCUGUGUUUAAUUCUAUAUUCUUUUUUCUAGCAAGUCUUCUAAAAUAAAAAAUAAAAAAAUA